UGUAAAACAAACAGAAACAGGUGAAAUCUCGAGCACCUUCCUCGUCCUUUCUGUUUCCACCCACUGACUAUAUUAAAACCAUUCCCUGUUAAUAUAUAUAUUUUCUGCUCAUGAAAAGCUCUGUAUGUGUCACGAUAAAGGUGGAGUUGGUUUGUGAGGUCGGCCCCAGCAGAAUUUUACGAGACAAGCUGUGCUGAUAUAUGGCUGAAGGAGACUCCAUUAAAACGCUGGACCUGCGCCAUUUGGGGAAAAUGGAGGUCACUCAUGCUAGGGUCAUGUGACACCUAUAAAAUCAAACUUUUCCCUAAUAUCUGGCCAUAUAUCACCUCUUCCUCGUGUUUUUUAAUGUUUUUUUUUUCAUCUUUCUUCAACUAAUAUUCAAAUCCUAAAAAAAUAGGUAUUGGGUGAGAAUGACAGUUUUUCCAAGAGGUGAAAUGGAUAGGGAGGGGGUGGGGGGUGCUGCAGGUUGUCCAUUUGUGCUUUUCCAUAAGAGAGCUGGGUAAUAUUUAGUUUUUGAUUAAUGUUCCGUAUCAAUCUGCAGAGGAGCAUAGGGAAACGAUCUGUUACGGUGCACUCUUAGAAAGACAAGAACAGCUGCACAGAGAUGUGGUUGACAGUCCCCUUUUUCUGUCACUGUCCUUUCACCUUCCCUUUUUUCCAUCACUCCCUGUCCUUCUUGAUUGAGCCUUUAUUUCUCCCUUUGGGUUUUGUAAUUAAAGUAACUUCAUUCCUUCUUCUGAAUCACCUUACACAUUUAAUUGUCUCUACGCUCUAGUUUUCCACCUGUCAUUUUUUUUUUUGUAAUGAUAUCACACUUAUCUUGUGGGUUUCUUUCCAGCUCCUGUUUCACCUCCUAUAGCAACACCUGCAAACCUAGAGAAACAUACCAUAUCUAUCCUCUACUUUCAUAUUCCUUACUUGUUUUGGAUCCCUUCUCUUUAUGUCUCUUUGGGCUAGGCCGUGUUUCCUAUGUGUCUCCCCCAUUGCUCCCAGCUCCCUAGGGCAUCAUUUCCAGGCUUCAUUUGUUUGAGGGCUUUCUAAUCUGGGCACUAGGACAACCUCAGUCCACCGUGCCCUCGUCAAUCAUCCCUACAGAGGAACAGAGAGAAGGUGAAGAAGGAGUAGAGAGGAGGAGGAAGAAGAGCGGAAGGUGAUGGCAUGAUUAGUUAUCUGUCCUCUUUUGCCCACCCUCCCUAUUCCCAGUGACCACCACUCCCUCCACCUUUCAAAGCUCUCACUUCUUGUAUCUCUCUUAUGCAGUCACAACAUCUAUCUUAACUUCUUCUCUCCCUUUCCCUUCUCCUCUUCCCUGAAUUUGGAGCACCUGCAUGAAGCACCAGCUACCACGCUGUCCACCUCUCUGUCUAUUUUUCUGUCGGAUUGUUUGACCUCAGCUCCAACGGUGGUCUCUUUUGUGUCAGCGGACAAAUGAGGAUGACCUUUUAUUGUAAAACAGACACCUAUUGGGAAGGAUGAAACAGACAGUGUUUAAAUUAACAACAGAGAAAAGAGGAAGAGGGAGGCCUUUUCAAAUGGAGGAAGGGAUGGAGAGAGUGAAAAGUUUUUGAAGUUCUAAUAAUCAUAGAACAGUGUCUGCAUCAAACUAGCAUGGCCACUGUUCAAUAAUAAAGUCCCCUACCUGGCUGGCAGCUAUUGAUGAACAGUGCUGGAACAGUGAGAAGCAGACCUCUUGAACGUGCCCUGGACCCAUCAGUAUGGGUGCAUGAAUAAUAAAUGGCGUUGACAGUGGAGGCCAUAAGAGUAGACAGAGUAUUAUUGCACAUGAAGGUCCAUUCUGAUUUUGAUUAUUUUUAUUCCACGGGGCUCACAAAAGGCCAGGAGACCGUUGGUGAAUAUUCUAAAAGGGCACAGGGCUGAGAUGGGCUUGAUGGGAGGCUUUGAUUUCUGGCUAAUAGCCACUUCAAACAGGCUGGGAUGGCUCUGAGACAGGGGAGGAAGAUGACACAAGGGCUAAAGGACAGAAAGACCCGACACCAACAUAAUGUAGUUCACAGAUUGCACGUAAAGAAGCAGACGGGGAAACUGAUGGACCAUGUGACUUAAAAGUAUUUAUUUAAUAAGCUGGCGCAGAGCCACCGCACUGAUACUGGUGGACAUCUAGGGAGCUAUUGUUGAGAUAGAAACCAAAUGAGAUGGGGAUAUGCACAACAUACUAUCUGGACGACCUGGUCUACUCCAGUGACUGAUAAUCUGCUGCGAGAAUGCUCAGAAGACCACCUGGGAACAUUUGAUCUUUAUUUACCACUUUCUCGGUGAGAUGAAAAAAAAGUGACUCAUGGGAAGAUAAAAGGGACAAGGGACAAUUUUGAAUUGUUAGUUUAAAACAUGUCCAUGUUUUUAUGCGAUUUCCGCACAGGGUUGUUAACACUGAUGAGUUAUUAGCACAACUCUCUGUCUGUUGUCCAUGUUGUGUCUCCUGGCCUCAUUGUUGAGCGAUGUAUAGUGCUGAAUGAUUCCCAUAACCUGUCUCUUGUUUGGACUGUAAUAUGCUUGACAUUUCAUUUGUACUUUUGUGAAGUCCUGGAAAACAGAUUUCUGCAUAUUUUUUUUUGAUACAUACUUCUUUAUUGCUUAAAUUAAGAAAUAUUGAUGAGAGCAAAAUAGUUUUAAUCUGUUUACUGUAUCAUUGAUGUAAGUGUAUGCUGUUACUUGAUUUCAUAAAAUAUGAUAUUUAAAGGUAAUGAAUCAAAGAAAUAUAACUUAAUCAAACUGUGUUGUUACCUUCAUUUAUUAUGUACAUCUAAAGUAAGCAAUUACUGUAAGUAAAUACUAUUUCAUUAUCUUGUUUGCUUAAACUUAUGUAUAAAUAUAUUCAAUA